rnacentral:rRNA from 1 species
AGUGAACGCUGGCGGUAGGCCUAACACAUGCAAGUCGAACGGCAGCACAGUAAGAGCUUGCUCUUACGGGUGGCGAGUGGCGGACGGGUGAGGAAUACAUCGGAAUCUACUUUUUCGUGGGGGUUAAGGAAGGGAAACUUACGCUAAUACCGCAUAGGCCGUAGGGUGGAAGGAAUGGGAUCUUGGGACCUGGGGGGUUUGAACGAGCGGCUGUUGGUUUGGUUGGUGGGCGGGGUAAAGGCCAACAAAGGCGCCGAUCCGUGGCUGGUCUGAGAGGAUGAUCAGCCACACUGGAACUGAGACACGGUCCAGACUCCUACGGGAGGCAGCAGUGGGGAAUAUUGGACAAUGGGCGCAAGCCUGAUCCAGCCAUACCGCGUGGGUGAAGAAGGCCUUCGGGUUGUAAAGCCCUUUUGUUGGGAAAGAAAAGCAGCAGGUUAAUACCCCGCUGUUCUGACGGUACCCAAAGAAUAAGCACCGGCUAACUUCGUG